rnacentral:rRNA from 1 species
GGCCUGGCUGAACGGUCUGCCGCAAGGUAAGCACUGUUCUGGCCGGGCCUUUCCUUCUGGGGAACCAGCGUGCUCUUAAUUGAGUGCGCUGGGGAUCCAGGACUUUUACUUUGAAAAAAUUAGAGUGUUUAAAGCAGGCCUACGCUUGAAUACAUUAGCAUGGAAUAAUAGAAUAGGACU